rnacentral:rRNA from 1 species
AUUGAACGCUGGCGGCAGGCCUAACACAUGCAAGUCGAGCGGAUGAAGGGAGCUUGCUCCUGGAUUCAGCGGCGGACGGGUGAGUAAUGCCUAGGAAUCUGCCUGGUAGUGGGGGAUAACGUCCGGAAACGGGCGCUAAUACCGUAUACGUCCUGAGGGAGAAAGUGGGGGAUCUUCGGACCUCACGCUAUCAGAUGAGCCUAGGUCGGAUUAGCUAGUUGGUGGGGUAAAGGCCUACCAAGGCGACGAUCCGUAACUGGUCUGAGAGGAUGAUCAGCCACACUGGAACUGAGACACGGUCCAGACUCCUACGGGAGGCAGCAGUGGGGAAUAUUGGACAAUGGGCGAAAGCCUGAUCCAGCCAUGCCGCGUGUGUGAAGAAGGUCUUCGGAUUGUAAAGCACUUUAAGUUGGGAGGAAGGGCAGUAAGUUAAUACCUUGCUGUUUUGACGUUACCAACAGAAUAAGCACCGGCUAACUUCGUG